UGGCUAGAUUGGGUGAGCCACUGAGCUUCCAGAAACACGGCUGUUUCUGCCUUCCCCAGGGUUGGAAUUACGGGUGUAUUCUGCUACACCUAGAUCCAAACAUGGGUCCUCAUGCUUGCCCAGCAGGCACGUUCCCUGCUGAGCUGUCUCCCAGCCCUGGCAGAUAUUUCUGGAUGGCGUUGGCUGGGCUGGCUCUGGUGUCUGAAGCAGCUCCUUUAUUUAUGACACAGCUACACAACCCGCUUCCUGCUGGGAUCUGCAGAACUUUCACCACUCAGCCCCCAGGCAGGUGCAGAUCCAAGCACUGCUCCUCUCCCUCUUGUGACUCACAACCCAGAUUCAAUCCACUGGUAGCCAGGCCGGAUGAAGCAGAUAUGUGAGCUCCUCCAAGCAACCACGGUCGGUCUAGAAUUCCACCAGCCCCCAGCUCUGUCAUCUCCUCUCUUUGUUGUAGAGACAGAUUUUCUGGUUCAUUAACUUUGUUGUAUAGUUGUUUGGCUGAAAAUCACAUUAAAUACAUUUUGGAACAGUCAGGCUAUAAAGAAAGCCAAUGUGAAUAAAGGAACAAUGGUGUACCAUGAAGGGAGGGGGCGCUCAUUUUGGAAAUUGUAUUAAAUGUAGUCAGGUAGAAAGAUGUAAGUGAAAAUUAAACUUAAACAUUAUUUAUGUGCAUGUGUGCACAUCUGUCUGUGCACAUAUGCACCUGGGUGCGAGGCAGGACAGAAGACAGUGUCAGCUCCCCUGGAGCUCCCGUUACAGGCAGUUGGUUCUAGGAACUGAACUCAGGUCUGCAGUAGAAGCAGCAAGCUCUCUUAGCUGUUGAAGAUACCAGCUUGUGAGUAUAGGCCGGAUGACAAACUCAAGUAUCAUGCCUCAGGGAUAAUUGAUCUUGGUUUUUGAAACUGCUUCCCUCAUUGUCCUAAAGCUCAUUCGUUAGACUAGGUUGGCUGCCCAGCAAGUCCCUGGGACUGCCUGUCUCUGCUGUCCCAGCACGAGGGCUUCAAAUACAUGGCAUGGUAACAGGACAGGCUAUCAAUUUUACAGGGAAUAAAAGUAAGUGUAGAAGAAGAAGAGAUGGUAUACCAGAGUGAGGGAGAGAGGGUGUGCCAGAGUGAGGGAGAGAGGGUGCACCAGAGUGAGGGAGAGAGGGUGUGCCAGAGUGAGGGAGAGAGGGUGUACCAGAAUGAGGGAGAGAGGGUGUACAAGAGCGAGGGCUCUCCUUAGCUGAGCACGGAUACCCAGGAUGAAGGAAGCUUCCCAGGCUCCUGUCCACAUUAGGUACUUGUAAGAGCAUCCCUUCUCACUUGUCGUGCUGCCUUCUGGGAGACAUCUUGUCUUUCUAUUAAACUUCCAAGGGAGCAGGAAAUGUCCAAGGCCCUUUUUCCCCUACCCAUUGCUCCAUUAAAAACAAACUCUGACCACUUCUCCCCUUUCAAAAACCAGGGGAGAGUUUCUCUGAGGCACGUGUUCUCUGCCCCCAAUUUACCUCAGGCUGUACUUGAAGUAAACUCUCUGCUGCCAUUUCUGUUUCAUGGUUUGUUUUAAGUAGAGGCAGUAGGUAGGGAAAUAAAGACAUUAAACCCUGAAUGGAAAUAUCAGUCCAGCGUGAGGUGUGCGUGUGCACUUGAGGGUGGGGUGGGGUUGAAUGUAUGUGUCUCCCUCUAUUAAACUUUAUGUAAUUUUUUGAGAUAGGGUCUCUCACCGAACCUGGAGCUCACUGAUUGCCUAGGCCAGUUACCUUCGAGCUCCAGGGAUCCUCCUUUGUGUGCCUUUCCUAAGGAGGCAUGGCUUGGGUGCACUUCUACAGCAGGCUUUUUGACAUGGAUGCCUGACCUCUGAACUCAGGAUGCUGUGGUCCAGCAAGCGCUUACACACGGACCCAUCUCCCUAGCCUCCUACGUUUAUAUUUUGGAACACAACAAGAACCAGAUAUUUUGGUUUCCACAUCAGCCAGCUCAUAACAGCCAGUAACCCCAAUUCUGGCAGAUAUAACACCAUCUUCUGGCCUCCACAGGAAACAUGGCAGCAUGCAGGCAGUCAUGGUGCUGGAAGUAGAUGAGAAUUCUACAUCUUGAUCACCAGUCAGAAGAAGAAGACCGUGUACCACACUGGGCAUAGCUUGAACAUUGGAGACCUCGAAGCCCACCCCCACAGUGAUGCACUUCCUCCUACAAGUCCACGCCUAUUCCAACGAGACCACACCUCCUAAAAGUGCCACUGCCUAUGGGUCAAGCAUUCAAACACACGAGUCUAUGGGGUCCAUACUUAUUCAAACAACCACAAACAUCAAAAGCUAAGCAGCAGUCCAGGAGGCAGAGGCAGCAGGAUCUUUGUGAAUUCCAGUCCCGCUUAGUCUACUUAAUGAGUUCCAGGACAGCCAGGACUAAAUAGAGAGACUCUGCCUCAAACAAACAAAAACAAACACAGAAAAAGCUGAAGAGCAGCACAUCUUUCUCUUGGUGUGUGCAAUAAAGCCUUCCCUGAGCCAGAUGGACACAGGAAGGAAAACACAGAAACACAACAUACUUCCAAAUUCUUGUAAUGGGAGCCUUCCCCUCCCAUUUCUCACAAUCAGACACUUGCCCUUCAGGAUUCUUAUUUGCGUGAUUUUUAAUUUUUUUCACUUUUUAUAUGCCGUGAAUACUGCUUCUAUACUGUUAAAUACUUUCUAUCAAUAUGAUUCAAUGGCUGUGAAGAGUUCAAUUAAAUAUGUAAUGGGCACACAAAAUUAUUUGGUUUCUCCAGAGUAUGGUAACAUAAUUCACUCAAGAAGGGUUUUGUUGUUAGAUUAAAGAAACUCUUUAACGGA